rnacentral:rRNA from 2 species
CUUGAGAGUCCUGAAGGAACGUUGAAGACGACGACGUUGAUAGGCCGGGUGUGUAAGCGCAGCGAUGCGUUGAGCUAACCGGUACUAAUGAACCGUGAGGCUUAACCUUACAACGCCGAAGGUGUUU